CCUACGGGAGGCAGCAGUGGGGGAUAUUGCACAAUGGGGGGAACCCUGAUGCAGCGACGCCGCGUGGGGGAAGAAGCGCCUCGGCGCGUAAAGCCCUGUCAGCAGGGAAGAAAAUGACGGUACCUGAAGAAGAAGCCCCGGCUAACUACGUGCCAGCAGCCGCGGGAAUACGGAGGGGGCAAGCGUGAUCCGGAUUUACUGGGUGUAAAGGGGGCGCAGACGGCGGUGCAAGCCAGGAGUGAAAGUCCGGGGCCCAACCCCGGGACUGCACUUGGAACUGCGUGGCUGGAGUGCAGGAGGGGCAGGCGGAAUUCGUGGUGUAGCGGUGAAAUGCGUAGAUAUCAGGAGGAACGCCGGUGGCGAAGGCGGCCUGCUGGACUGCAACUGACGUUGAGGCCCGAAAGCGUGGGGAGCAAACAGGAUUAGAUACCCGGGUAGUC
rnacentral:rRNA from 1 species